AAAUUGAAGAGUUUGAUCAUGGCUCAGAUUGAACGCUGGCGGCAGGCCUAACACAUGCAAGUCGAACGGUAACAGGAAGAAGCUUGCUUCUUUGCUGACGAGUGGCGGACGGGUGAGUAAUGUCUGGGAAACUGCCUGAUGGAGGGGGAUAACUACUGGAAACGGUAGCUAAUACCGCAUAACGUCGCAAGACCAAAGAGGGGGACCUUCGGGCCUCUUGCCAUCGGAUGUGCCCAGAUGGGAUUAGCUAGUAGGUGGGGUAACGGCUCACCUAGGCGACGAUCCCUAGCUGGUCUGAGAGGAUGACCAGCCACACUGGAACUGAGACACGGUCCAGACUCCUACGGGAGGCAGCAGUGGGGAAUAUUGCACAAUGGGCGCAAGCCUGAUGCAGCCAUGCCGCGUGUAUGAAGAAGGCCUUCGGGUUGUAAAGUACUUUCAGCGGGGAGGAAGGGAGUAAAGUUAAUACCUUUGCUCAUUGACGUUACCCGCAGAAGAAGCACCGGCUAACUCCGUGCCAGCAGCCGCGGUAAUACGGAGGGUGCAAGCGUUAAUCGGAAUUACUGGGCGUAAAGCGCACGCAGGCGGUUUGUUAAGUCAGAUGUGAAAUCCCCGGGCUCAACCUGGGAACUGCAUCUGAUACUGGCAAGCUUGAGUCUCGUAGAGGGGGGUAGAAUUCCAGGUGUAGCGGUGAAAUGCGUAGAUAUCGGGUGGAACACCGGUGGCGAAGGCGGCCCUCUGGGCCGAGACUGACGCUGAGGCGCGAAAGCGUGGGGAGCAAACAGGAUUAGAUACCCUGGUAGUCCACGCCGUAAACGAUGUCGACUUGGAGGUUGUGCCCUUGAGGCGUGGCUUCCGGAGCUAACGCGUUAAGUCGGCCGCAUGGGGAGUACGGCCGCAAGGUUAAAACUCAAAUGAAUUGACGGGGGCCCGCACAAGCGGUGGAGCAUGUGGUUUAAUUCGAUGCAACGCGAAGAACCUUACCUGGUCUUGACAUCCACGGAAGUUUUCAGAGAUGAGAAUGUGCCUUCGGGAACCGUGAGACAGGUGCUGCAUGGCUGUCGUCAGCUCGUGUUGUGAAAUGUUGGGUUAAGUCCCGCAACGAGCGCAACCCUUAUCCUUUGUUGCCAGCGGUCCGGCCGGGAACUCAAAGGAGACUGCCAGUGAUAAACUGGAGGAAGGUGGGGAUGACGUCAAGUCAUCAUGGCCCUUACGACCAGGGCUACACACGUGCUACAAUGGCGCAUACAAAGAGAAGCGACCUCGCGAGAGCAAGCGGACCUCAUAAAGUGCGUCGUAGUCCGGAUUGGAGUCUGCAACUCGACUCCAUGAAGUCGGAAUCGCUAGUAAUCGUGGAUCAGAAUGCCACGGUGAAUACGUUCCCGGGCCUUGUACACACCGCCCGUCACACCAUGGGAGUGGGUUGCAAAAGAAGUAGGUAGCUUAACCUUCGGGAGGGCGCUUACCACUUUGUGAUUCAUGACUGGGGUGAAGUCGUAACAAGGUAACCGUAGGGGAACCUGCGGUUGGAUCACCUCCUUACCUUAAAGAAGC
rnacentral:rRNA from 1 species